rnacentral:rRNA from 1 species
AUUGAACGCUGGCGGCAGGCCUAACACAUGCAAGUCGAACGAGUGGCGGACGGGUGAGUAAUGUCUGUGAAACUGCCCGAUGGAGGGGGAUAACUACUGGAAACGGUAGCUAAUACCGCAUACCAUCGGAUCUGCCCAUAUGGGAUUCUCUUGUAGGUGGGGUAACGGCUCACCUAGGCGACGAUCCCUAGCUGGUCUGAGAGGAUGACCAGCCACACUGGAACGUAGACACGGUCCAGAAUCCUACGGGAGGCAGCAGUGGGGAAUAUUGCACAAUGGGCGAAAGCCUGAUGCAGCCAUGACGCGUGUAUGAAGAAGGCCUUCGGGUUGUAAAGUACUUUCAGCGAGGAGGCGGGAGUCGAAGAAGAAGCACCGGCUAACUCCGUGCCAGCAGCCGCGGUAAUAG